rnacentral:ncRNA from 1 species
UCUCCUGAUUAUGUUUAUCAGGUAUAUUUAUGAAAAUUUUGUUUGUUUGAUUUUCAAAAUGCAGCAAUGGCGUAAGACAUAGUCGAAAAUCAAACAAUUUAGUAUGCCACAAAUACAUCGCUUAUUGAGUUGAAACAUCGUUUUCAAUUAAACAGUGCUGAAUUUUUGAACUGAAAAUCAGACUCACCGACAUAUUGCAUCUCUAUACAAUCGACAACCGUGAGGUUGACGCAUCUGUAAAAGACACGAGGUCAUCGGUUAUCAAUAGUGUAAUUACGUAUGUUAGUGGCACAUUAUAAAA